GUGGAGCUUGAGCAGUGUUUGAGUACAGGCAUGCUCACUUCGGUGCGCAGGUGGUCGUCCCUUAGGAGUUCAUGUCCUGGAGGCUCAGGUCCCAUGGCGGUGGCAUUGCGGUGGCCCAUUCUAGGUCACCUUCCAAAAUGGUUCCUGCUGGUUUCUGUGGGCAACUUAGCUCUGGCAGGAACAGCUUGUUAGAAGAACCGUCUCCCUUCCUCCUGCCCACCCUGUGCGCUGCAGCCGGGCUUUGCACCAGGAUCCUGCACCGUGCUGUGACCCUCUGGCCGCCGGAAUCGUGAGCCAAAUAAACCUCCUUCCUUACCAAGCCCCAGCCACAGGCUCGAGUCGCAGCGACCCAGAACUGAGGAAGAAUUGAGGGAGCGCUCUGCGGACAGCUCGGGUCUGAGGACACCGGAGGAAGAGCUGCCCUGCGAGGAGGCUGGGAAUCACCGCUGCCGUGCUUGCUGGGGGCUAACGUCCUCCAGGCCCGAGACCCCACGUCAGAAUUACGUCUGGGUCUGUGACACCCUUGGGCCCCUCCUGACUUUUGGCCCUGGAAGCUUCAAGGCUCAGGAUGUUCUGGCCAUGGCUGUUACGCGUGUACCUGGCUCGUCCGUGGAGGAGUGGCCGAAACCCCUGACUACACUCCAUCGGGCCGGGGAGUAUUCUCUCGUGGAUUUUGUUAUUCUUUUUGGCUGUCAGCAUCCAGAUCCUCUCACACUCUGGAGAGGCUCCCUGGUGGAUCUUGCGGGAGGCCCAGCAGAGCCAGGGACACAAAAGAGCACCUCGCUACCCAGGGCCGUCGGAUCAACCCGGUGGGACAUGGUCUGUCAGCCCCCAGCCUGGCCUGAGCCCUGUGAAUGUUCAAAGAAAUGAAGGAUCCUAGAAAAGAAAAACAGCAUUAUUUUAGCAUCCAGCUUCCUCAGCAAUGAAGACAAACACCAUCAUCACCCAGAAAAAUGGCCCCGUGCCUCAGUUUCCCCUGGGCAGACUGAGACACUGAUUUCAUCCGAACACAGUCAUGCUCUCUGCUGGUAGAGACUGAGCCCCUGCUCUCGCGCAUGCCAGGCACAGGCCCCACCGCUGAGCUACUCCCCAGCCCUCUGCCUUCUUAAAAAACAGACUUUAUUUUUUCAAGUAGUGAUAGCAAGAUCAAGCGGGGAAAAACAAAGCGCCGAGGCAGUGUGGGUUUGGAACAUAUAAAAAGUUAGCAGCGGCUGCAGAAAAGGCGAAGGAAGGUGCUCUGGCCUCUUACUGACGGGGAGAUGAAGAGCAGGCGGAAGCUGUAAAGGAAGUUAAGGUUCUGGAAGGAAAUGGGGGAAGUUACAGGUCAGAGCUCGUUUCCCUGGGCUGUGGUGUGGACACAGUAGAAAGUAUUAGGGCAGAGAUUCAAAGAAAAGGCAUCUGGCACCCACCAGUUUUCCCUAUAGCCGGCAUUUUAAGAAGUACAACCAGGCCGGGCGUCGUGGCGCAUGACUGUAAUCCUAGCACUUGGGAGGCUGAGGCAGGAGGAUCACUGUGAGUUCAAGA